UCGAUUGCGUCGCGAGGAGGAGUGGCGCGGAGCACGGUUUUGGGCAGAUGCACGCACGGGUACACCAGAUGCACAAAACAUGUGACAGAACACAACGAUGAUGUAUAUGUGCACGCCUCCCCGACACAUGGCACCUUGGCUGAAGAUGCGAAUCCCAGCACCAGCCGUGCUCCAAGGCAUACGCUUCACAGGUGUGCUAACAAAGCAAGCAGGGGCCAAAGAACUGCGAUUUUUCUUCAUGAAGGCAAAAAUCGAAUAGCGGGCGAAUGCCGCAUUAUGGAAGCGAUAAAGGCCACUGCGACGCAUCAAACAUACCUGCAUACAGAAGCAAUAUGAAGCAGGGGGUAAAGAGAAGGAGCGCUGCCGACACGCUCCACAUUAAAAACUUUUUCACGACACGGACGAGGGCGGUGCUGCUGGUGCACACACGAUCGAUGAUAUUGAUGUGUGUGCGUGUGUGCUUGUGUGCGUGUGUGCUUGUGUGCGCGUAUGCACCUGUACGUGCGUCUUCCUUGUUACCCACUCCCUCGAAUCGCUCAAUUUCGUUUUUCAUUCCUCUUUCCCUUCUCUCCACCGCGACCCCCCUUUCCGCUGCACGCCUUCUGCGAAAGUAUGUGCGCUUAUGUUGGCUUGCGCACUGUAUGACAGAGACGGAGAAAAAAAAACAAGGAAUAGAUUGAGGUUGGAUACAACACGGUUGACGGGAACGCGGGUUUCGACUUACUCUUUCCUUUUCACUUGAGAAUGGUGCCACACGUAUGUCGGCGAGUGACUGAAGGAGCGUCGCAAUGCGGCCUUCGCUUUUCUACUUC
rnacentral:misc_RNA from 1 species